rnacentral:rRNA from 1 species
AGAACGACUCUCGGCAACGGAUAUCUCGGCUCUCGCAUCGAUGAAGAACGUAGCGAAAUGCGAUACUUGGUGUGAAUUGCAGAAUCCCGUGAACCAUCGAGUCUUUGAACGCAAGUUGCGCCCGAAGCCAUUCGGCCGAGGGCACGCCUGCCUGGGCGUCAC